rnacentral:rRNA from 2 species
UGAGCUCAAAUCAGGUAGGACUACCCGCUGAACUUAAGCAUAUCAAUAAGCGGAGGAAAAGAAACUAACAAGGAUUCCCCUAGUAACUGCGAGUGAAGCGGGAAAAGCUCAAAUUUAAAAUCUGGCGGCUUUGGUCGUCCGAGUUGUAUCCUAGAGAAGUGUUUUCCGCGUUGGACCGUGUAUAAGUCUCUUGGAACAGAGCGUCAUAGAGGGUGAGAAUCCCGUCUUUGACACGGACUACCAAUGCUUUGUGAUACACUCUCAAAGAGUCGAGUUGUUUGGGAAUGCAGCUCAAAAUGGGUGGUAAAUUCCAUCUAAAGCUAAAUAUUGGCGAGAGACCGAUAGCGAACAAGUACCGUGAGGGAAAGAUGAAAAGCACUUUGGAAAGAGAGUUAAACAGUACGUGAAAUUGCUGAAAGGGAAACGAUUGAAGUCAGUCGCGUUAGCUAGAACUCAACCAGGCUUGCUUGGCGUAUUUUCUAGUUAACGGGCCAGCAUCAGUUUUGACCGCAGGAAAAAGGCCAGAGAAAUGUGGCACCCUCGGGUGUGUUAUAGUCUUUGGUCAUAUACUGCGAUUGGGACUGAGGUUCGCAGCACGCGCAAGCUGUGCUUAGGAUGCUGGCGUAAUGGCUUUAAACGACCCGUCUUGAAACACGGACCAA